GACUUAGAACAAUUUGGAAAUAUCUUGUAAGCUGUUGCCGAGGCUGUUGCAGCCAAUUUCAAACUCAGUAAGAAAAAUCUAAACCUUUCAUUAUUAAAAUCUUCAAGCAUCGAUGGAACAAGCAGUUUUGCAAAAAUUUUCCAAAUUACCACUACCAUCAUCUAGGGCUGCGGAUCCGCAAGUGAGUCCCAGCUUUUUGGAAAGUGGUUUUUCUGUCAGCUGAUCGAUGCCGUGCUAGUGUUGCUGAUCAUGGUGCUUCCUGUCGCAUCUAAUGGAUUAGCAGGCUAUGAUCACCAGCGAUCGCUGAUCGGAAGAGGAACCAUCACAUGGGAGAAACACACUUAGCAUCCACAUACAAUCAUAGCACCAGUAGUUUGUCAACAUUUAUCGCCCUCAAUUUAAUAUAUUGUACAUGAAGAAUAAUUUUAUGUAUCAAUAAAAUAUGUAUGUUUUCUUUAUUCAUUAUGAAUUUGCUAUUUUUCUAUGAGAAAAAUCAAAAUAGGAAUGAUCCAAACAAAUCUACAAAACUGAGUAAAAAACGACUCACUUUGCUAAUUUCCUAUAAAUUAAAAAUGAGUACGAGUUACUCUAAUUCGAAGAAAAUCUCAUAUUACUCUAAAGUGAGUAACUGCCAUUUACUCUCUUUUGAGCUGUUCCACUUUGUACCAAAGUGAGUCGAAUUCUACUCACUUUAGAGUAGUUUUCAACGAGCGUGUUCAAUGUUUCCAUAAAACGGUCAACUAUUGAUCAAUAUAUGCAUCGUGUGAUUGGCGCCAUGUGAAGCCAAAAAUACCUUAUCGAACCGUCAAACUGGUAUCCUAAUGAACAAAAUCAACAAACCUUGACGAUUGCCGCAAAAGUGAAGAUAAGUAUUGCACUCAUUUCAAGCAAAUUUUCACCAAAAUAUCCAAAUUUAUUAUGGAUAACAGUGCAAACAACAUUGAAUUCUUGAAUAAUUGAAAAUUGUUCCAUUUUGGAACAUCAGUUCGAUAAUUCCUAGUUAAUACAACAACAGUAUAAAAAGUUUUCAAAUGCGGUAUGCGCGAUAGGCACUACCUUCGAUGGGUGGAUUAAUUUGCUUUGCGACAGUUGCCAGCAUCCGAGCAAUGAAAUCAAAACAGAAAAAGUGUUGCCGUUCAGGCGGCUGUUCACUCUUCGCUUCUCUACACUCAAAAUAAUCCAAACGUCGAUGCUACGUGAAAAAUCACGUAACCUCUCGUUUUAGUCAUUCAACUUGAAUUUACCGGAUCCACUUGACGCUCAUGUUGCGCCUCAGUUAACGGCACUGAUGUUUUGAGUAAGAGCUACGUGACUUUCCACGUAACAAAUUUCCGCCUGAGUUUCACGUCAAUGCUACGUGGUUAUUAGGUGGAAAUGAGUGCUUCACCACCACUCACGAAUGUAAACAAUAAUUUCUAACCUAACAUCUUAGUCAGCAAGUAACAACAGCAGCCAUCACUUAGGUUUCUCGAGUAUCUACAGGUAUUUUUGUAAUUAUUUAUAACUUUUUCGUGACGCAAUGCAAAGAUAACGUUGAAUUUCAGGUACGGAGAGCGCUGACCAGAAGCACUGGAGUCCAGAAUAUGCCGAGUUCUAGUGGAUUCAAAGUCAUUCGUCCUGUUGAUGUUACUGAGGGCUGAAAAUUGUGUUAUUCUUCAAAUUAAAAGUGUAUGUUCGUGUUUGAUUGAAACAUAUUCACAUAUGUAUAAAAAGUUGACAAUUUCUUUUUCAUAUAAAGCUUUUGAAAAGAAAAUAUAAUUCAAAGGAAAACAGGCAAUAAUCAUUAAUGGUGUCCAGUUAAACUCAUCUUAACUUCCACAUAGCUGUUAUGUGAAAUCUUAGUGACCUCGAGAUACCCAGGCAUUGAGUUCCGUCACUCACAGUUCACGUAGCUGUUACGUGGAAAGUGCGAUGGAAAAAAUCUACGUAUGUUUUCACGUAGCAUCGACGUGAAGAUUUUUUGGAGUGUACCUAUUUUCUCUGCUCAAACCGCGUAAACAAACAGGUUAACGGGACGCCUUACACACCAAUCUAAAAAGAGCAAUUUUCAUAAAAAUAUAGUUCAACAACGAAUUUAAAAAUUUUAUUUGCACAAUUUUCACUCUAUACUGUUUUAUUUUUGUGUAUUAUGAACAUUACUGUUAUGAACUCGGUUAUGAAUUGGAAGGAAAAGUAUCUCAACAAUAUGCGCCCGAGGGGGGCGACACAUCUAAAUCUCCGAAUAGAUGUCAACGAAGAUCUACAUUUUUAGAUGAGUGUGCUACUUGCAAGAUUUUCGGAUCUACUUUGCACUGCAUCCACUUUCAAAUCCUGCCGAGCGCUGCUUUAGAUAGGAGGAAAUGUGAGUGGAUGGGAUGUAGAUAAGCGAACACUGAAAAAAAUUUUUUUGUGGAAACUACCGAUUCCAUAGUAAAAUUACUAACCGUACCUAUGAUUCUCAACCGACAACAAAAUCUGUUAAGGUAACUGAAAUAUGCUUGGAAUUACAAUGCAUUGUAGUAAAUUUAACUAAAUGCAUAGUUAUCUCAACAACAAAACAUUGUUAAUUUUUCCAGGAUACGCAUUUUACAACACAGUAGGGUUAAAAAUACAAUGCUCAUUUCUAGAUUGAGUUUAAAUAAGGGCGAAAGUAACAUGAGAGAGUUCUCUUCAUCGACUCUCUCUUCUUCAAAUUAAAGUGACAAGAUGCAAGUAUUGUUGAACUUUUUGGUCAUAAAUCGCUAGGUUGCGAUGCAAUCUAGCGUCUAAGUGUAAAAAAGUUCGAUUAAAUUUGCAUCUUGUCACUUUAAAUGGCAGAAGAGAGAGUCGAUGAAGAGAACUCUCUCAUGUUAGUUUCGCCCUUAUUUAAACUCAAUCUAGAUUUGUUAAAUUAAGAUUAUUUUUGGUUAUGUUAACUGCACUGCUAGUUAAGUUGACAAUGUUUUAGUGGAAUUAACUGGAAAUUGUUGUUGGUUGAGAAUCAUAGGUACGGUUAGUAAUUUUACUAUGGAAUCGGUAGUUUUCACAACAAAAUUUAUUUCAGUGAAGGCCAGUUAAGUACAGAAUGUGAAAAGGGUUUAUUUGGUUGUUACAAAUAAUUACGUUCAGAGGUUUUCUCAACCUUUUCAACUUUGUCCACGCAAACUAAGUUCAGUAACACAUACAUUACAUAUUUAUCAAAGUAUUUACCUAUAUUUUAUUUAAGCUAAGUUGCAUAAUUAUAUCAAAAGCGCCACAAAAUAAACGUAUAUGUGAGCUGGUGCAAAAAAACAGUCUCUUUUUAAAAGUGUGUGAUAGCAGAACAAAAUGUAAAUAAUGCCCUUGAUGCCUAAUCAUUUUCAAAGUUUUUGCCGGUUUAUGUUUUCAAAAUAGACAAGGCCUGCAGUUCAGUAGCGGAAUCUUCCAGCCACCUCUACCGGUAAACUCCUCAUUAUCUCCGACCAGCAAAACUUCCAGCAAUUUCUUAUGGAAAUUGUGUAGGACCCAAUAUCCGGUUCCGGUUCCUUGACCUGAGCAAAAGUUUUGUAACUAGCAGGUAGGGUUACCAUCCGUCCUGAUUUAGCAGGACAUGUCCUGAUUUUCGAAUAAUUUUGGCCAAAAUUUCUUAACAAAUCUGAUGAGUUUUACUCAUUUUCGAGAAAAUACAUGAAAUGUCCUGAUUUUCUAUUCUGUUUUGAUGGGAGCCCUACUAGCAGGCUAUCGUACUUACUUAAAUAAAUUACAAAUUAAAUUAGAUGGAAAAAAUCAACAAUUUAUUCUGAAGAAUUCAGCGGUAAUUCGUUCCCGGGAAUGCUCCAGCUACUCCUUCCGGUGAAUUUUUCAGCAGUUCUUUCUGGCCGGGGAAUUCUUCAGUUCUUAACUUUCGAGAAUGUUUAGGCCAAUGAGCAAAUCUUGUCGAUAAACCCUUCAGUAACUUCUUCCUGAAAAUUCAUUUUUUUGCAAUUCCUUCAAAAAAAACGGCAAAUCCUCCAAAGAUUACAACUGUCAUUAUCUCCAGGCAACCCACCAGCAAUAGGGUCCUAAAAUUAAAGACGAAAUCUCGCUUAUAUUGAAUAAUACGAUCAAGCAUGGUAUUCUAAUCGAAAUUGUACUUUACUCGAACUUGAAAAACAAAGGAAUAAUGAGAAAAUUCGAAAUAAGUAAAAUGGUAAGUAGUUCUACUUUGACAUUUGAGGUCUACCUAGUGUGACUGAGCUCGACAUUUUUCGCACUGGGAUUUCAAAAAUGAUCCUAUCUGACAUACACGGUGAAAAAAAAUUACUCAAAGUAUGUGUUAUAAGCUAGGGACGAGACAAAAGGAUAAAAAAAUAAAAUUAUAUAUUUUCAACUACGGUUAAUAAAAACGUCAAAAAUUGAGUAAAUAUGUACUCUUGAACCAUAUAUUGUGGUUUAAAACAAGAAACUCGAUAGGACUUUAGGAGCCUAUUCCUUCCAGAUAAUCAUUAUCCGGAGAAAUUCUUGAAGGAACUCCCGGAGGACUUCCCGAAAGAACUCCUGGAAGAAUUCACUUAAGGCUCGACUUAAGGAAUCCCAAAAAAAAUCCCGAUGCAACUCCUGAAGCGAUCCCUGAAGGAACUGAUAAAAAGAUUCUUACUCCGAAGAUGAGUAAUUUAAUAUACCGUGGAGGGCCCAUAUUCUGCGCACCUAAGACUUUUCCAAUUUCAAUCAGCUGUAAUAAAUUCCAAAUUAAACCGAUUUGGCUGAAUUUUUGACCGCACAUAGUUAUUAGCUUUGUAAAUAAGGGAAAAAUAUAAUUCUUAUACAAAACACUAUAUUUUUAUGUAAAAUCAUGAAAAUUCUAAAGUGUGUCUUUGUUCCUAAUUCUGCGCACCCUUUUCUGAAAUGUUCCUUAUUCUGCGCACUAUUGUUCCUAAUUCUGCGCACAUGGGAAAAACUCUAAAAAUAUAACAUAUUGUAAUGAAAACAUAAUUCAUAGAUCAAAUUCAGUUGAAUUCUUCAUUUUCAACUUUUAUACGACAUUACGAUCAUAUUGGAACUUUGCUUGCAUUGAUACUACCCACUUUUAUUACUAAGCAAAGGGAAUUUCAAUCAUAAUACACAAAAGGAUUUUGUAGCAUUAGCAUUAUCGAACACUACUAUGUAAAGUUUUUUAGUUAUCCGCAUAUGCACAUAUUAGUAAACUUUACUUUCAUUUCUAAAGGCAUUAUAAACUUUUUCGCCAUGACAAGGUGGCACAAUCUUUGUUUGCAAACUGAGACUUCUUUCUUGUCUAACUCCAGGGUUUCCAUUGUUUAAGAAAAUUCCAUGUAAACUCACAUCAUAUAUCGCAUUUGACAAAUGCUUGCAUGAAUACAUAAAAUUUCCCCCGAGGUUGAUAGCAAAUGUUCAAAACAAGUGGUUAGUCCGGUCGAACUAUCAGAUCAAAAAUGCAAGAAUCGUAAAUUAGCCUUCAAAGUUUAAAAAAUAACUUGUUGAGACGUAAUUACAUUCACCAGAUUGCUAGAAACAUAGAAUAUCCUAGUUUUAACUAUGGUGGCAUUUAUAUGAUGUUUGUUUAUUAAUUAUAUGUUUAAAACUUAGUGUUGAAAUGUCUGCGCAGAAUUAGGACCACUAUUUAAUACCGGUUCCUAAUUCUGCUCACCUAAGAAGAACAAGAAGAUUAAGAAAGGAAGAAGAAAACUCUUUUGUUUUUUGUCGAUUCUGAUUCCUCGAAGACAGCAGUACAGGAUGCGCAUGGAAAAGCAGACAUUCUCUUCAUUAUUUAUGUCGCAAAAUGCUUCAGCUCAUGAGGCAACUUUUUAGUGGCUUCGCUAACGGACACAGAUUUCAGGCAAUUUCUAGUACUUGCAACAUCAUUUUAUUUUUUUACAAAAUAAUGGUCGUUGAUUUGAAAAAAAAUUCUUCACAAACUUUUUCCAUUACUAUUGAAACAAUAUUCAAAAAAUAUAUUUGAAGCUAAUAUUGAACUAGCGUCCGUGAUUUUGUGGUAUAUUCGCGAUAGUGCGCCGAAUUAGGGACUGCGCAGAAUUAGGGCCGGUCACGGUACCCCUGAGAAAAAAAAAUAUAGGCAGUUUUUUCGCUACCGCCGUCCGGUGCAGACGUAGGCAAAUGUGUUCUUCGCGUGUUCCAUUGUCAACAGCUUGGGCUGUAUAGAACCCAGUUUUCGAGCGCGCUUUGUACCCGGUCGUUCACAUUAUAUACAUACGUUUCUCGGUGUUGCUUUCUGUACCAAAAAACAGCAACCAUCCGUCAUGAGCGAAAUGAUAGUGAACACUGUGCAGUUUCGUUUCCCAGCCGGUAGUCCUCGCCCGGCAUGGAUUGAAAUUGCGAAAUUUUUAAAACGGCUGGACACAGAUCUGAUGAUGGUGGAAACAACAUAUAGAACGGCAGAAGAACGAUCGCUGUUCAUAAAGUUUACAUCGCAGGAGGCUAUGCAGGACGCUUUAAGAGCCGAUGCACACGAGCGUUAAUUGACGCUGCGUGAAUUCACGCUGCGUUGCCGCAGCGUUCCUGUGGGGCAUGCGUUGACAUUGCGUGCCGCACACGGUGCGGCGCGGUUGCGGUGCGGUAGCGUUGCGUUCUCGUGUGCAUCCUCCCAUUUGAUUGUGUGUAACUCAGGACGCACUUGCGUGCACGCUGCGUGGACGCGCCGCCCGUGUGCAUCGGCUCUAAGGAAAAA